rnacentral:lncRNA from 10 species
CUCCUUCUCCUCAGCUUACUCAACCUGAAGACAGAAAGGAUGUCCCUCUUUCACUUAAUGAAUAGUAAAUAUGUUUUUUCUUCCUUCUGAGUUUCUUAAUAACGUUUUUUUGUCUCUAGCUUACUUUAUUGUUAGAAUACAGUAGGUGUUAAUUGAAUCUUUGUGAUAUGGGUGAGGCUUCCAGUCAGCAGUGGGCUUCUACUAUUUAACUUUUUAAGCAGUCAGUGGUUAUGCUCAGAUUUUCAGCUGCAUGGAAGUCAGCACCCAUAACACCAGCAUUGCUCUAGGGUCAACUGUGUAUUGAAAAGAAUAAGACCAGAAAAUAAUCCAUCUUCUUAAUCUCUGCUUUCUUUCAUACUCAACCACAUGUUUUUGAUGGCAAUGGUAGCUGGUCUGGAACAGCCACUGCAAAGACGCCAGCUGCAGGGGAGGAAGUGCGGCCCGGGUGACACACUCCUCAGGGCGGUAGGAACUGGGAACAGGCAGGAGCCCAUCCCCCUACAGAGCUGGCAGAGUGGGAGCCCUGUGGUCUUGGGCGCAGCUACAGCUGCCCAGCUGUAGCUUCAGAUCCGAGCAUCCCUGUAUUGUCAGGGGCCCAGGAAGCUCCUUGCCACCGCAGGCUUGAAAGUUCCUGCUCCCAUUGCCUGACCUCACCCCACUCCUGGCGCCCACUCUGGUGAGGAUCAAAGUUGUGGCAAAGCCUGGGUGCUGUUGCAACCAGACCGGGUGUGUGUGCGCACGCUCAGGGUGACACUGAAAUGCCAGCCUUCUGCCACCUCAGCCCCCUCUGGACUUCGGGCACCGACGAACAUGGGAUGGAGGCUGAGGAGGGGCUGAAGUCAGCUUGGCAAAGGCCACUGCUUGGUAAGAACAGCCUGGGCACUGUGGACUGCAUGUUGAUGGCGGGAGGCAAACAGGUUCCUGGGUGGAAAGGGAUUAGUCCCACGUGAAGCCCCACCUUCAAGGUAGAGACGGCCUGAAGCCUGGUGGCCGGGCUGUCAGAUCCAGGUGGAGUGGGAACUCAUGGUGCUUUUUACCAGCCUGCCCAUGGCUGCCCAUGGAUGAAUCAGCACGUACUUUCUCCCUUCUGAGACCGUAAAAUCCCCGAAACCAGCCAAACUCACAUAGACAUCAGGAUGACUUGCCUGUGGAAAGGAGCUACCCAUUCUGGUUCUCCGCUCCACUGAGAGCUGCACUCAUCACGACAACUUGCAUGUGAGCGGAACCACCCACUACGGGUCUCCUCUCUGCUGAGGUGGACACUCAUUGGGACAACCCGCCUGCGGAAAGGAGCUGUCCACUUCCGGUCCUCUGCAGCCGUUCUGUCAAUGAAGCUCCUCUCUGCCUUGCUCACCCUCCACUUGUCCGUGUACCUCAUUCUUGUCGUGGAACAAGACCCUGGGACCCAGUGAAUGGUGGGACUGAAAGAGCGGUAACACAAACAGGGCUGAAACAUGCCCACCGCUCGCCACUUUGUGGGCGACGAGGAGAAACGAACUGCUGUGGCCCUUCAGGAAUCCCAGACCUAGAGACUCCUGAGCCAGGGCUGUGACACCCUCUUUGGGGCUCCGCAGUUUCUGGUGUCUCCAAGCUUCCGGGUGCCAUCGUAUUUCCCAGUGCCUGCAGUGGAAGCCAUUUGUGGUAACGCCUGGUCCAGCCAGUCUCACACGGAACCCACGCCUGUGCUGGCGCCUGGAGCUGCCUGCCCAGUGGCAGCAAGCACGCAUGGCUGUGUGCAGUGGCCAGACCCCAUGCUUAUUAACACACCCCUUGCUACUCCUCACCAGGCUCGCCCUUGGCAGGUGUGGGAUCCAGGUCAGUAUUAUGAGCCAAAUACAGCCUGCUGGGGCGAGUGAGCAGAAGAGGCCAGCGGGCCCGUGUAAAACUCAGGCAAAGGCACCACCAGCCGCAGAGGUUUCCAACUGAAAAAGUGACACGUUAAGAUGAAUUCAAGGAUAUCAAACUUGACUGCAUAAGAGAGUAUCAUGUUUGGAGAGAAGAAAUAAUUUUAUUGCGAGACACAAAGUGGUGUCUGUCACUUAAAUCCUUCACCAAUCUACCUCCUGUACUCGUGGAAAAAAAGGAAUCAGUCGGUCCUGCUACAGAUUGAAUGUUCACAUUCUCCAAAAACUUAAUUGCUGAAAUCUUAACCCCUAAUUUGAUGGCAUUAGGAAGUGGAGUCGUUGGAGGUGAUAAGGUCAUGAGAACAGAUCCCUCAUGAAUGGCAUUAGUGCCCGUAUAAAAGAGUCCUCAGAGAACUCCCUCAUCCAUUUCACCAUUUGAAGACACAGCAAGAAGAUCGUAAUCAAUAAACUAGAAAGUUGGCCCUUACCAGAUAUUGAAUCUACUGGCACCUUGAUCUUGGACUUUCCAGCCUUCAGAACUGUGAGGAAUAAAUUUCUGUUGUUUACAAGCUCCCCCCUUAUGGCAUUUUAUUACUGCAACAAGAACAAACUAAGACAGUCUCUUUCUUGGCUCCUUCUUUCUACUUACUGCUUCAGUGUUAUUGUUUCUCUAAAGGGCUUAAUCACUGGCCCUUCUCACACUACACUGUUUUUUUCAGUGAUCAUAUUCAGACCCAUACUAUCAGUGAAAUAUGACUAAUAUUUAGUAAUGUAUAUAAACAAUUCAGAACACUCUUUUGAUGUUAAGUGAUAUACCCAGAUCUCUCACACAAAACUUGAAAUCUUGUCGAAAACUGAUUUUAUAAUCUCUCUCCUACCUCAGAACAUGGCCAACACAGAAAUCUUCCUUCUUUUUCAUGGUUCCCUAUCUCAUUCCAGUCCACCUAGUUACUAGUUCAUCCUGGAAUAUCAUCAGCAUCAUCUAUGAUGCUUCCCUUUUCUUUACCACUAAGAUCCUUUCAAAUACCAAGUAUUGCUAAUUCCAUCUUAAAAUACAUUUAAUAUGCCCAUAUUUUUCAGUCUACCUUUAACAACCUCAAAUUUUCACCUUUCUUUUUCUUUUUUGCUUGGGCUUCUAGAAUAUUGUUCUAGGAGGUUUUCCCAUAUGUAUGCUAGUCUCACUCUCUUCCACACCGCUUUGGGAAUAUAUUGAGGGUGUAAAUUUGAUUGCUUUACAAGAAUGCCCAAAACUCUGUUCUAUAGUUUUGUGUGUAUAGUUUGGAUGUUUUAUUAUGUAUCUGUUUUUUCCUGAAUAAGAAGAUGCUUAUAAUAUCAUGAUUUAUUAUUUGCCAACAGAGAGAUCACAUGAGUUUCCCUUGGCUUUUCUUAUAGAAAAUGUGUGAAAUAUUCUAUUUUUAAUACUCAUAAUUGGAGAACAGACAUAGCAUCCAUUAAGACUCCUGGAAUCUAAUAAUCAUAUUUCCUAUGCAGUUCUGAUGAAGUGAAAGGACCAUCUAUACUUUUCCUUGUCUAAUCCUUUGAAACUCUUCAUUAAUGGGAUACACAAACAAAAAAUAUAAUUACCAGCAUAUCUUAUUACUUUUACAAUCAUUGUUUCUUUAUUUCCUUUAAGGAUUAAACUUCUGGGAUUUUAAUCUCAAAACCAUGUCUUUUUCUUGGGUUCUCCGACCCAAGAAAAGUUGGUAGGGUUGUCUCUGUGUGUGCUCCUCUGCGUGUGGUUGUUUUUAUUUUUUGUCUCUUCAGCAAGUAGUUAUGGAGAGGUAGACUGAGCAGUUUCUAGUUUUCUACCUAUUAUAAAAAACUUAAGGCUGGGCACGGUGGCUCAUGCCUAUAAUCUUAACAUUUUGGGAGGCUGAGGUGGGUGGAUCACUUGAGGUUCAGGAGUUUGAGACCAGCCUGGCCCACAUGGUGAAAUCCUGUCUCUACUGAAAAUACAAAAAUUAGCUGGGCGUGGUGGUGAGCACAUGUAAUCCCAACUACUUGGGAGGCAGAGGCAAGAGAAUCAUUUGAACUCAUGAGGUGAAGGAUGCAGUGAGCCAAGAUCGCACCAUUGCACUCCGCCUGGGCAAGGAGAGCAAAACUUCAUCUCAAAAUAAAUAAAUAAAUAAAAAUAAAUAAUAAUCCAACAGAAAACUAUCCAAAUAUCAUUAGCAGGUUGUUAAUAGAAAAAUAAUUACAAAUAUCCAGUAAAAUAUGAAAAAGAUUAUCACACUCAUCUUUAGAUAAAUAAACAUUUAAAGUAUAGAUAGCAUUUUUUUCACCAAGUAGCUUGAGAAACUCUUCAAAAGUUUGAUCCAAUCCUCUUUUUAACAUUCUUGUGAAUUGAAAGUCCUUAUCAACUAUCUGGUAGAGAA